UUUGUGUCUUUUAUUUGUGUAGCUCCGUCAAGUAGGCUGGCAGCUUCUGCCUGAAAAACAGUAGCUUUGUUCCCGAAGCUGACAGAGUAUUGUAAAUUAAGUUCCGGGCAGAAGACACCUCCACCGCUGCCCUUCUUGUUCUUGGCUCCGUCAAUGUAGAUAU